UCAGCGCCGAUGGUAGUCGGGUAGAUCCCCGUGAGAGUAGGACGCUGCCAAGCCUAAUUAAAUCCGGAGGAUUAGC
rnacentral:tRNA from 1 species